rnacentral:rRNA from 1 species
UACGUAGGGUGCAAGCGUUGUCCGGAAUUAUUGGGCGUAAAGAGCUCGUAGGCGGUCUGUCGCGUCGGAUGUGAAAAUCCAGGGCUCAACCCUGGACCUGCAUUCGAUACGGGCAGACUAGAGUUCGGUAGGGGAGACUGGAAUUCCUGGUGUAGCGGUGAAAUGCGCAGAUAUCGGGAGGAACACCGGUGGCGAAGGCGGUUCUCUGGGCCUUACCUGACGCUGAGGAGCGAAAGCGUGGGGAGCGAACAGGG